rnacentral:rRNA from 1 species
AACGAACGCUGGCGGCAUGCCUAACACAUGCAAGUCGAACGAGACCUUCGGGUCUAGUGGCGCACGGGUGCGUAACGCGUGGGAAUCUGCCCUUGGGUUCGGAAUAACAGUUGGAAACGACUGCUAAUACCGGAUGAUGACGUAAGUCCAAAGAUUUAUCGCCCAAGGAUGAGCCCGCGUAGGAUUAGCUAGUUGGUGAGGUAAAGGCUCACAAAGGCGACGAUCCUUAGCUGGUCUGAGAGGAUGAUCAGCCACACUGGGACUGAGACACGGCCCAGACUCCUACGGGAGGCAGCAGUGGGGAAUAUUGGACAAUGGGCGAAAGCCUGAUCCAGCAAUGCCGCGUGAGUGAUGAAGGCCUUAGGGUUGUAAAGCUCUUUUACCCGGGAUGAUAAUGACAGUACCGGGAGAAUAAGCUCCGGCUAACUCCGUG